rnacentral:rRNA from 1 species
ACGAACGCUGGCGGCGUGCCUAAUACAUGCAAGUCGAACGCUUCUUUUUCCACCGGAGCUUGCUCCACCGGAAAAAGAGGAGUGGCGAACGGGUGAGUAACACGUGGGUAACCUGCCCAUCAGAAGGGGAUAACACUUGGAAACAGGUGCUAAUACCGUAUAACAAUCGAAACCGCAUGGUUUUGAUUUGAAAGGCGCUUUCGGGUGUCGCUGAUGGAUGGACCCGCGGUGCAUUAGCUAGUUGGUGAGGUAACGGCUCACCAAGGCGACGAUGCAUAGCCGACCUGAGAGGGUGAUCGGCCACAUUGGGACUGAGACACGGCCCAAACUCCUACGGGAGGCAGCAGUAGGGAAUCUUCGGCAAUGGACGAAAGUCUGACCGAGCAACGCCGCGUGAGUGAAGAAGGUUUUCGGAUCGUAAAACUCUGUUGUUAGAGAAGAACAAGGAUGAGAGUAACUGUUCAUCCCUUGACGGUAUCUAACCAGAAAGCCACGGCUAACUACGUGCAAGCAGCCGCGGUAAUACGUAGGUGGCAAGCGUUGUCCGGAUUUAUUGGGCGUAAAGCGAGCGCAGGCGGUUUCUUAAGUCUGAUGUGAAAGCCCCCGGCUCAACCGGGGAGGGUCAUUGGAAACUGGGAGACUUGAGUGCAGAAGAGGAGAGUGGAAUUCCAUGUGUAGCGGUGAAAUGCGUAGAUAUAUGGAGGAACACCAGUGGCGAAGGCGGCUCUCUGGUCUGUAACUGACGCUGAGGCUCGAAAGCGUGGGGAGCAAACAGGAUUAGAUACCCUGGUAGUCCACGCCGUAAACGAUGAGUGCUAAGUGUUGGAGGGUUUCCGCCCUUCAGUGCUGCAGCUAACGCAUUAAGCACUCCGCCUGGGGAGUACGACCGCAAGGUUGAAACUCAAAGGAAUUGACGGGGGCCCGCACAAGCGGUGGAGCAUGUGGUUUAAUUCGAAGCAACGCGAAGAACCUUACCAGGUCUUGACAUCCUUUGACCACUCUAGAGAUAGAGCUUCCCCUUCGGGGGCAAAGUGACAGGUGGUGCAUGGUUGUCGUCAGCUCGUGUCGUGAGAUGUUGGGUUAAGUCCCGCAACGAGCGCAACCCUUAUUGUUAGUUGCCAUCAUUUAGUUGGGCACUCUAGCAAGACUGCCGGUGACAAACCGGAGGAAGGUGGGGAUGACGUCAAAUCAUCAUGCCCCUUAUGACCUGGGCUACACACGUGCUACAAUGGGAAGUACAACGAGUCGCAAAGUCGCGAGGCUAAGCUAAUCUCUUAAAGCUUCUCUCAGUUCGGAUUGUAGGCUGCAACUCGCCUACAUGAAGCCGGAAUCGCUAGUAAUCGCGGAUCAGCACGCCGCGGUGAAUACGUUCCCGGGCCUUGUACACACCGCCCGUCACACCACGAGAGUUUGUAACACCCGAAGUCGGUGAGGUAACCUUUUGGAGCCAGCCGCCUAAGGUGGGAUAGAUGAUUGGGGUG